rnacentral:rRNA from 1 species
ACAGCAGUCGCCGCGGUAAUACGAAGGGUGCAAGCGUUAAUCGGAAUUACUGGGCGUAAAGCGUGCGUAGGCGGUUUGUUAAGUCUGCUGUGAAAUCCCCGGGCUCAACCUGGGAAUGGCAGUGGAUACUGGCAAGCUAGAGUGUGUCAGAGGAUGGUGGAAUUCCCGGUGUAGCGGUGAAAUGCGUAGAGAUCGGGAGGAACAUCAGUGGCGAAGGCGGCCAUCUGGGACAACACUGACGCUGAGGCACGAAAGCGUGGGGAGCAAACAGGAUUAGAUACCCGCGUAGUCCCUGUCUCUUAUAC